rnacentral:lncRNA from 1 species
ACAAGGAUGGCAUGGGAAAUGGGUACUCUUGUUGCUUAGCCUGCCCUUUGACUAGAACACUGCAAUCUACAGCAGUAUCAACCUGGUACCUUUUACCCCUGCUGACCGCUCACAUUCACCAAGAUAUAUAUGCUUAUUACUAAACACUUAUUGGUCUAUCCGUGUGCUUUCAGUUUGGCAUAAUUUCCUCAAAUGCAAUGCUCACUACAAAUAUACAGUAGGAGAGAAAAGAUCUGGACCAGUAUAAACCCAGGAGGCAAACUGAUGCACACUAAUCCUAGCCUUCAUGUUUCCUCUUCCCUACUAAAAAGUUAUUGAAAGCACAGGGUUCAAUAAGUUGCCUGUGACCCACACAUUGCUCAAUAUUUCACUCUGAGAUCAUGUCCACAAAAUGAGCAUGAAGGGAAAAAAAAUAGAGAAAUAAAAGGAGAGGAAUUCUACAACCUCCUGCAUUCAUCCAAAUCUUUGUCAGCAUCUCCAAAGCAAAGAGGUUGUUAAACAGGGAUCUAAACUGCUAGUAAAUGGAGUUGGAGGAAAAUUGAGGAUCGUCAGUCCCACCUUUGGACAAUGUUCUGCAGGCUUCUGUGGUAGUAUGGAGAGUUCAGGAGAAAUGUCUGAGAAGCUAAAGAAGAGGGAAACCACAGCCUAUUCAGUGAGCCAGUGGAAGGAUUUAUUACUCCAUUGUAUAUGCUGCUUGACAUGCUGCCAGCCUGUGACCUUCUGCAAGGCGGUCUCAGGGCCAGCAGUGUAAAGGACGAGAUAGAUCUUCCUCCCACUGUCAUCACAAGCUGAGAGAAGAGAUGCUAACAGCCUCCUGUGUACUGCAGUGGAAGGCAGCUGGCACAGAAAGCGUGGAACCACAGGAAAAGGAAAUCCAUUCAUCACAAUUCUGGAAUGCUGGAAAACUCACUGAGGAACUACAAAGGGCAGGUAAAGCAAAAGCAUUUAAAAUAGUUGCAGAUGAGCUGAUAAGCGGCUCAAAGAAACAGUUAAAUUUGUGUGCAGAUAACUUAACCACAGUAUCUGGAAUGUAUAAACAUAGCACUUUUUUUUUUUUUUCUGGCCUUAAAAUUUGAUCCAAGUCUGGGAGUUAAGAAGUCCCAUUUUGUGUAAUCAGGUUCUGGUUGAACAUGAUUGCUGAAUUAUUUUAAAUUGAAGACACAUGUCUGGAUGUUGAGUUCUGUAUAUUAUUCCAGGAUGGUGUCCAUUAGGUCUUAUCCACAGGGGCUAUCUUCAUUCCUUAUGCAUCAGGAUUAGCAAAUGGUGAAUCAUGAAUAUGGAGGCAGUGAAUAGAAUGUGGUACUAGUUAAAUGGUGAUUUUGGAAAUUAUCUUGCAUGCAUUAUUCAAAACUUUUCAGUCUCUCCUGCAUAGAGUCCCUAAGGCUGUUUCAAAGUGUUAUUUUAAAGCACACUUGUACAAGGCAUUUGCAUUCUUUCAUUUUGAAUCUUGAGUUUAGCAACGAACCAACAUUUGCUUUAACCCCUUGUCAGUCCUAAAGCAUUCUCAAGAGUAUGAGUUGCUCAUCUAAUGGUUGCACUGCCAUAUGCUGUCCUUCUAUAAUAGAUCUGCCCCUGACCUCUGUGUUUUUACAUUGCUUUUUUUACUGGCAGAUGGACCAUUACAUGAAUUGAAACAUAUUUUAAUGGAUACUCCCAGUGGUGAGAGAAUAUUGUCUCAUUAGCUCCAUGGGGAAAACAGUGUAAACCCAAAGCUGAGUAGCUCACCUAUCCAUAUGGUGGGUGAAAAGAGGUGUCCUUACAGCAUAUGCUACAGGCAACGAUGCCUCCUGAAUUGCUAGAAGAUCAAACUUCUGAGGUGUGACAAGGAGACGAUGAACAAAGAGUUUGUCUUUUUCCUGUCUGGGCUGUCCGAAUGCUUGUGUAGCUUUUAAAGACUGGGCUGGAUGCUCUUUGGGUGCCCUGCGGCCAUGUACCACAGAUCAGUCACCACAAGGUGCUCUGCCCUUAUCUUUUCCCCACACAGAGCUCCUGCGGGGAAGGUCUCUGAAAGUCUUUGUUCAUCAGAAUUUUUUUCAGUUAAAUGGAUCUUUUUUGGUUUUUUUUUGUUUGUUUGUUUCAAAUCAAAACAAAAUCGACAAAAAGAAGACUGUCACCAUCAUUUGCAUGUUUCUAUUUUCACAUGUUCGUAACAACCGUAACGGGAAUUUUAUCCAUCUUUUAAUCAAAACUGUUUGAGAAAUCACACCACCCAACUUCUUCACAAAGGAAAACACUCUUGUCAGUGUGUGGACGACUUGAUGACAGAGUCAACAGUGAUUCUGAUAUAACAUUUCAUGAAAAUUGAAAGACAUCCCAAAAGCCUGCAAAGAGGAAGUGGCCACAAAAUAUGAAUACCUAUGGCCCGUUCAAAAUGCAUUCCUCAGUUUUCAGCCUGGGAAAUGACAGAGUUCAUUGUGCAGAUGGGCUCUCUGAUUCCAUCCCAAUGGUAUCUCCAUACACCGCCUCUCUCCCUCCCUCUUAGGCAGGGUGAAUCUGCUGGGCUUUAAAUCUUUCUCAGCCAGGAGGAAUUCCGAAAGGAGGAAAACAGCUGGGAAACACAUAUCCAUGCCUCCUGCAAAGGUAUGUGCCUUAUAUAUUACUGCGAGGCACAACAUCAUUUUCCAAAAAUCUCUCACUCUCUUAAAUAACACACAAAGUAUUGUUCUGAGCUGAGCUAAGGUGGAGCUGGCAGUUGACAUGUCUGAGGUCAUUCGAUAAAUGGGUGUAAUGAAGUAGUCAUGGCUAAUAUGUGUUAUAAGCUUAAUAUGAACCUGAAAAUCCCACAGAGGAGAUAUUAUAUCUUUAAAAAAUGAUAGUACGGUAAUGAUUCUAAAUCCUGCAGCUUACAAUAGUGUUUAACUGUUUUGAGCCAUUAUCGUGAUAUUAUUUUAGGGAUUUUCAUUGCAAUAGAUAGUUACAUUAAAAUUACAUUUAAGUAGAGAGUUGCCAGACUUUGCUGAUGCUUUACUAAGAACCACACAGCAGACACUUGUGAAAGCACUUCCUCUUGCCACAUACAAAUGGAUGAUUUACAAUAUGGCUAGAGAUGACAGCUUUAAUUAAAUUUCUUUUGAGGAGCUCAUUCUGGCAGCUAACCUGUGCUGGAAAGAGUGUGACACUCACUUGCAUACUUAGGAUGAGAAUCCAGAAACAGUCUUUUUAGUGGUGUAUAUCUAAAAGCAAGUAAAUAUCAUCUUAUCUGUGCAAGUCAGGAAAAUGAGGCCCAAAGGUGUGAUGUGUCUUGUACGUCACUAAUGGCCUUAACCAUUGAAGUCACUGAGCUGUACUAUACUAUAAUAAAAAAAAAAAAAAAAAAAGACA